rnacentral:lncRNA from 1 species
CCAUGGCAAUUCCUAGCCAAUUCAUGUGCAAGCAUUAUACUAUUUGCAACUCUUAUACUAUAAAUGAAAGUAGAUUGACCAGGAGAAACUAGAUACUGCAAAAUAUUCCUAAGUCCGGCAACCAUGAUUCACAUUUGCUUGGGAAUAAUAGACAAAAUAGCGGAGUUCACUUGCCUCAGAAGCUUCUCAUGAUAAAACUCUUGAACAUCUGCCACCACAUCAGUCUUCACAAUCUCCCAAUACUUCUUAUAAAAG